GAUGAACGCUGGCGGCGUGCCUAAUACAUGCAAGUCGAGCGAACGGACGAGAAGCUUGCUUCUCUGAUGUUAGCGGCGGACGGGUGAGUAACACGUGGAUAACCUACCUAUAAGACUGGGAUAACUUCGGGAAACCGGAGCUAAUACCGGAUAAUAUUUUGAACCGCAUGGUUCAAAAGUGAAAGACGGUCUUGCUGUCACUUAUAGAUGGAUCCGCGCUGCAUUAGCUAGUUGGUAAGGUAACGGCUUACCAAGGCAACGAUGCAUAGCCGACCUGAGAGGGUGACCGGCCACACUGGAACGGAGACACGGUCCAGACUCCUACGGGAGGCAGCAGUAGGGAAUCUUCCGCAAUGGGCGAAAGCCUGACGGAGCAACGCCGCGUGAGUGAUGAAGGUAUUCGGAUCGUAAAACUCUGUUAUUAGGGAAGAACAUAUGUGUAAGUAACUGUGCACAUCUUGACGGUACCUAAUCAGAAAGCCACGGCUAACUACGUG
rnacentral:rRNA from 1 species